AUUGAACGCUGGCGGCAGGCCUAACACAUGCAAGUCGAACGAGUGGCGGACGGGUGAGUAAUGUCUGGGAAACUGCCCGAUGGAGGGGGAUAACUACUGGAAACGGUAGCUAAUACCGCAUACCAACGGAUGUGCCCAGAUGGGAUUAGCUAGUAGGUGGGGUAACGGCUCACCUAGGCGACGAUCCCUAGCUGGUCUGAGAGGGUGACCAGCCACACGGGGACUGAGACACGGUCCAGACUCAUACGGGAGGCAGCAGUGGACAAUAUUGCACAAUGGGCGCAAGCCUGAUGCAGCCAUGACGCGUGUAUGAAGAAGGCCUUCGGGUUGUAAAGUGCUUUCAGCGAGGAGGCGUUACUCGCAGAAAAAGCACCGGCUAACUCCGUGCCAGCCGCCGCGGUAAUUC
rnacentral:rRNA from 1 species